rnacentral:rRNA from 1 species
GCGAACGCUGGCGGCAGGCUUAACACCUGCAAGUCGAACGGGCAUAGCAAUAUGUCAGUGGCAGACGGGUGAGUAACGCGUGGGAACGUACCUUUUGGUUCGGAACAACACAGGGAAACUUGUGCUAAUACCGGAUAAGCCCUUACGGGGAAAGAUUUAUCGCCGAAAGAUCGGCCCGCGUCUGAUUAGCUAGUUGGUAGGGUAAUGGCCUACCAAGGCGACGAUCAGUAGCUGGUCUGAGAGGAUGAUCAGCCACAUUGGGACUGAGACACGGCCCAAACUCCUACGGGAGGCAGCAGUGGGGAAUAUUGGACAAUGGGCGAAAGCCUGAUCCAGCCAUGCCGCGUGAGUGAUGAAGGCCCUAGGGUUGUAAAGCUCUUUUGUGCGGGAAGAUAAUGACGGUACCGCAAGAAUAAGCCCCGGCUAACUUCGUG